rnacentral:tRNA from 1 species
AAUAGCAUGCUUGAUAAAAAGGUCGCCUUGAUAGGGCGGAUAAUGAAAGUUAACCUUUCUGCUAUUA